rnacentral:rRNA from 1 species
AUUGAACGCUGGCGGCAGGCCUAACACAUGCAAGUCGAACGGUAACAGAAAGCAGCUUGCUGCUUUGCUGACGAGUGGCGGACGGGUGAGUCAUGUCUGGGAAACUGCCUGAUGGAGGGGGAUAACUACUGGAAACGGUAGCUAAUACCGCAUAACGUCGCAAGACCAAAGAGGGGGACCUUCGGGCCUCUUGCCAUCGGAUGUGCCCAGAUGGGAUUAGCUUGUUGGUGGGGUAACGGCUCACCAAGGCGACGAUCCCUAGCUGGUCUGAGAGGAUGACCAGCCACACUGGAACUGAGACACGGUCCAGACUCCUACGGGAGGCAGCAGUGGGGAAUAUUGCACAAUGGGCGCAAGCCUGAUGCAGCCAUGCCGCGUGUAUGAAGAAGGCCUUCGGGUUGUAAAGUACUUUCAGCGGGGAGGAAGGGAGUAAAGUUAAUACCUUUGCUCAUUGACGUUACCCGCAGAAGAAGCACCGGCUAACUCCGUG